rnacentral:rRNA from 1 species
GAGUUUGAUCCUGGCUCAGGACGAACGCUGGCGGCGUGCCUAACACAUGCAAGUCGAGCGAGGGGAGUUCUUCGGAACGAACCUAGCGGCGGACGGGUGAGUAACACGUGGGUAACCUGCCUCAAAGUGGGGGAUAGCCUUCCGAAAGGUAGAUUAAUACCGCAUAAUCCAUAAGCUCCGCAUGGAACAUAUGGUAAAGAUUUAUUGCUUUGAGAUGGACCCGCGGCGCAUUAGCUAGUUGGUGAGGUAACGGCUCACCAAGGCCACGAUGCGUAGCCGACCUGAGAGGGUGAUCGGCCACAUUGGAACUGAGACACGGUCCAGACUCCUACGGGAGGCAGCAGUGGGGAAUAUUGCACAAUGGGCGAAAGCCUGAUGCAGCAACGCCGCGUGAGUGAUGAAGGCCUUCGGGUUGUAAAGCUCUGUCUUUGGGGACGAUAAUGACGGUACCCAAGGAGGAAGCCACGGCUAACUACGUGCCAGCAGCCGCGGUAAUACGUAGGUGGCAAGCGUUGUCCGGAUUUACUGGGCGUAAAGGGUGCGUAGGUGGAUAUUUAAGUCAGAUGUGAAACCCCCAGGCUCAACCUGGGAACUGCAUUUGAAACUGGAUAUCUGGAGUGCAGGAGAGGUAAGUGGAAUUCCUAGUGUAGCGGUGAAAUGCGUAGAGAUUAGGAAGAACACCAGUGGCGAAGGCGACUUACUGGACUGUAACUGACACUGAGGCACGAAAGCGUGGGUAGCAAACAGGAUUAGAUACCCUGGUAGUCCACGCCGUAAACGAUGAGUACUAGGUGUAGGAGGUAUCGACUCCUUCUGUGCCGCAGUUAACACAAUAAGUACUCCGCCUGGGAAGUACGAUCGCAAGAUUAAAACUCAAAGGAAUUGACGGGGGCC